GAUGAAGAACGCAGCGAAAUGCGAUAAGUAGUGUGAAUUGCAGAAUUCAGUGAAUCAUCGAAUCUUUGAACGCACAUUGCGCCCCUUGGUAUUCCGAGGGGCAUGCCUGUUCGAGCGUCAUUUCACCACUCAAGCCUGGCUUGGUGUUGGGCGACGUCCCCUUUGGGGACGCGCCUCGAAACGCUCGGCGGCGUGGCACCGGCUUUAAGCGUAGCAGAAUCUUUCGCUUUGGAAGUCGGGGCCCCGUCUGCCGGAAGACCUACUCGCAAGGUUGACCUCGGAUCAGGCAGGGAUACCCGCUGAACUUAAGCAUAUCAAUAAGCGGAGGA
rnacentral:misc_RNA from 1 species